UUUGGCAAAACUCAUUUUUUCUUUUGUUGAAUGAGCCAUCGCUACCUCCCUCCCCCUAGGUUAUCCCCUCCUGUCAUGUGUGCUUUUUGAUAUGCGUUUCAAUGCUUGUGAAUGCAUUGCCUUGGGUGGAACAACUAGACAUGAAAAAUAUGCUUUUGGGCUGUUUUGAAGAUAAAGCUACGAUGAUAUUGUCAAGAGACCAAACUUUCAAACCUUCUGAUAAGAAAUCAUCACAACAUAAACAUCAAAAUCGAAAACACAAUGUUCAUGUGCUUUUGAAUUCUAGUUCUAAAAAUCCAAAGAAGAGGAAAUUGGAACAAUACAUAAAUGAUGGUAAAUUUGCUACUAGUUGUAAACUCAUCAAUAAAGAGAAAUAUGGUAGUGAAAAUGUCAAAUAUCAGAAAAGAAACCCAUCUCCUCAUCACUCAUGUUCAACUCUACCAGGUAGAAAAAAUAUUAUUGUACAAGAAACACAAGAAUAUGGUUUCCCUGCUCAAAAUGACAAAACAGAAUUUUGUGGUAUUAAUAUGGAAGAUUAUUCUCACCUAAGUGACACCAAUGAUUCCAUUAAGGGGCCAAGUAUUAAGAAUCAAGGGAGCUUGAAUAUCCAGGCUAGAGGUUUAAUGCCUAGUAUUAGUUAUUCGUCUAGUAACAAGACAUCAAUCGAAGAGAAAGAAAAAAUGGAAUUUUUGAAAAUAUUGGUCGAAGAAGCUUUUAUCAAUAGUAAGACUUCACAUUUAUUAUACUCGAAAGAGGCAGACGUGAAACUCAUUCAUUCUUCCAAGAACUUUUUACCGGCUAGGAGUAACCAUCUUCCAAGACCGGUUAUUCCCGUUGGACCUCGGUUUCAAGCCGAAAUUCCUAAGUGGGAGGGCACAACCAACUUAAAACAAUAUAAUAGUGAUGAUUGUUUGAAGUGGUUGGGCAUCCAAAUUUGGCCAAUGCCUAAUGUAUCUAAAACAAAUGCAAAAGGUAUUGGGAAAGGUAGACAUGACUCGUGCUCAUGUCACAAUCCUAAAUCAGUUGAUUGUGUUCAAAAACAUGUUAGUGAAGCUAGGGAAUGUUUAAAAUCAAAGAUCAAUACCGCUUUCUCAAAUUGGAAGUUUGAUGACAUGGGAGAAGAUGUUUCAAAAUCAUGGACGAUGGAAGAGCAAACGGCAUUUGAAUCUCUUGUUAAAUCAAAUCCGCUAUCAAGUGAUACGAAGUUUUGGAAGCUCAAGAUGAAGAAGUACUUUCCUUCCAAAUCAAUGAAGUGCAUGAUAAAUUACUAUUACAAUGUAUACAUCCCUAGAUGUAUGAGCAAAGCGACAAGAUCUCCCUUUGGUGCAUUUGAUGGUGAACCAAAAUGAUAACAUGUUCAUAGAAAGUCGAAAGUUCACAAAUUGAUUGAGAUAUUGGAACCGUAGAAGAAGCUGAGGAUACUGGUAAUGGUUUUGCAUCUCGCAAUCCUUUCGUGACACCUGCGCAAUUGCAUCUCGCAAUCUUUUCAUGAAUAAUCGACUCUACUUCAAAGAUACUCUGAAAGAGCAUGGGAUUUGGAGGAGAUGCAUCACUCUACUAUUCAGCUUUGAUUGGAGGUGUUCUUGCUUUCUCAACAUUCAUUUCACUUCUUCUUGUUAGGCAGAUGAUCACUAGUUAGUAUCUUUUCGGCCAAAGAAACUCAAUUUCUAAAGGGUAACCAAUAUCAGCAUGACAAGAACACACAAUGCAGCCACAAUUCCAGCAUGCCACCAGCAGACAGCCCUCCUGAAUGAUUUUCAAAGUCUACAACAAAGUUGAAAUGCUUAUAGAAAAUGACAAAGCACGGCAGUGGAAAGAAACAUGGAAAACAAAUGAUAAACAAAAACUUACUUGGUGUUACUGUGAUAGUAGAUAUAAGAGGUCCAUAUACACCUCCAUCAGGAAUGGCAAUGGUUCCUUUCCCUACCCAGUACAAGUGAAUUUCCAAGGUGUUGUCAUUGACAUCGACAUCGAAUUGCUUAGUGAUUCAUUUUCCAACUCCACCAGCUUUUUCCAUAAUGUUAAAAUGCUUCAAACAUUUAAAACCCUGUGAAGAUGUAGAAUUUUAAAUUUAUGCCUUUAGUUUAGGACAUUUAGUUUCUUCAAAUAUAAGAAUCAACAAAAAUAAUGUAACAAAAAAAACUUCGCCUCCGUGCUGACUUGAAUUGAAACUUCAAAUAUGUGUCUUCCAAGACUGCUAAAAGUCUGGUCAUCUCUUUAUUAUUUAAAACAAGGUGCAUUUUAUAAAGCUAGGAAGAAUUUUAGUUGGAACCUCUUACUUUUUGGUGCA